GAAGUUCAGCGAGAGAAACAUUGAAAAUGGUGAUAAUAAUAACUAUGAGAAACAUGUUCCUACUUCAGAAACAACUCAUUCUCCUCAUCUCUCUGGUCUUCAAGAAGGCUCUCACAUUGGUUGGGGUCACUGGUUCACUCUCCGCGACCUUCAGCUGGCGACUAACCACUUCUCAAAAGAGAAUAUCAUCGGUGACGGUGGCUAUGGAGUUGUCUACCAUGGAACUUUAACUAACAAGACCCCUGUGGCUGUCAAGAAGCUGCUCAACAAUCCGUAAGUUUCUUUUUAUCUCUUCAAAUGCUCAUAUGAUCUUUGAGUUUGAUAUGAUUGUUUUUUUUUUAACAAUUAGAGGACAAGUUGAUAAAGACUUCAGAGUUGAAGUGGAAGCAAUAGGACACGUCAGGCACAAGAACUUAGUUCGGCUUCUUGGAUACUGCGUUGAAGGAACGCAUAGGAUGCUUGUUUAUGAGUACAUGAACAAUGGGAACUUAGAGCAGUGGCUUCAUGGAGACAUGAGUCACCAAGGUCAUCUCACCUGGGAGGCUAGAAUCAAAGUUCUUGUUGGCACUGCUAAAGCGUAAGCUUCCUUUCUUUUUUGGAAAAAACACACUUGAUGGUUCUUGGAAGCUCAUGAGAAUGUGUUCAUUUACACAGGUUGGCUUACCUUCAUGAAGCUAUUGAGCCUAAAGUGGUGCAUAGAGACAUUAAGUCAAGUAAUAUACUGAUGAAUGACAGCUUUGAUGCUAAGUUAUCUGACUUUGGUCUUGCUAAGUUGCUUGGAGCUGAUAAGAAUUAUGUGAGUACUAGAGUCAUGGGUACAUUCGGGUGAGUUAUACAAACUUUACAUUUUCAUAAUCUCCAUUGGUUACUUUUAAUAAUUUUCUCUCUUCAUGUUUAGGUAUGUUGCACCUGAAUAUGCUAACUCUGGUCUCCUAAACGAGAAGAGUGACGUGUAUAGUUUUGGUGUUGUUCUAUUGGAAGCUAUUACUGGGAGGUACCCAGUGGAUUAUGAACGGCCUAAAGAAGAGGUAAAGGAAUAGAUUUAUAUGCUUGACACAAUGAAGAUUAAGAGAUUGAAAGUUGAUUUGUUUUUGUUAUAGGUGCAUAUGGUGGAGUGGUUGAAGCUAAUGGUACAGCAGAAACAGUUUGAACAAGUGGUGGAUAAAGAGCUUGAGAUCAAACCAACGACAAGCGAACUUAAAAGAGCGCUUUUGACGGCUUUGAGAUGUGUUGAUCCUGAUGCAGACAAGAGGCCGAAGAUGAGUCAAGUUGCUCGGAUGCUUGAAUCUGAUGAGUACCCUGUGAUGCCUAGAGAGGUAUGUAGAAUGAUAACAUUUCAAAGUUCAGAGUUCAGACAGGAAAGAAACAAAACUGGAGUGUUAAUAAUCUGUUUGAUGAAUGUUUUAUUAGGAACGAAGGAGAAGGAAGCAGCCAAGAGAAAGCACAGAUACGAAUAAGGAUGAUACCAUAGCAGAUGCAAAGAUUUAAGUAACAGACUAAAACAUCAAACCCUUUUAAUGACUUUGGGGUUUAAAAGAGGGAAACAUAUAGAUUCUUUGGAGAUUGUUUAGAAUCUUUACUGUUUAUAUGAGUUUAUUAUGUGAUAUGUAUAGCGAGAACAUCAAGAUUUGUUUCUCUUGUCUAGAGGAGGAGAGAUCUUUUGUAUAGCUUUGUUGUACCUUUUUUAUUACCUUCAUACUUUCAACAUAACUGUUAAGUUUCAAGCCACUUUCGUCGGGUCGGAUUGAUUUCAAUAUUCGGUUGGGCAGCCUGUGUUUAGGUUCCGGUAUCAUGUUGAGUUUCCAUAAAGUUCCAACUUAAAAUCAAUUGGCGAUAAAGUGAAUUAACACAGUUUAUGUAUAUAUUACUUAUGUCCUGUUGAUCAUAAAACUCCUUAUGUAGAAACUUAUAUACUCACAAUAACACAUAGACAUCAAGCUCGAGAGUAGUGGCAUGGACAUGGACUUUACACCAAAUGCUGUAACCUUGUCAGAGGAUCGAGUAUCUAAGUGAAAGCAACACAAGAUCUUCAGUUGAACAGAUGGAGAGAAUGUUCACUUCACCACCUAUGCAGCAAUAAUCCAUCUUCUAAGUUAUACAAAAUGGCACAAACACAAUGAGUAUAUUAUGAAUAAUCCAUUCCUCGCAUAUUGUAUAAUUAGUAGAAACUUACAAUCGCAGGCAUGAAAUAACAUAAACAAAUAGAGCAACACCAUUCAGGUUUGGAAGUGAGACUUUCAUGUCUAUUGUGAGAAAUAAAAAGCCUAUUUUCACGAAUUUACACAAACCGGAUUCAAACAAAAACAAAUGAAAUAAGUGAUAUGAUGAAGAAGCGUGGCAUCAGAUUGGAGGACAUCAAUAAGGAUUGUUCCUGUGAGGAGUUUGAGGGGCAGAGCGAGGAGGAUUGAGGAGAGGCUGAAGAGCCUUCACCACUAUGCUCAUGUUUGGCCUGAAGUCUGCUUCGUAUUGCACACAUAACGCAGCUACAGCAGCCAGCUGAUCAAUACGACAAUAUCAUACAAGAGAGAAACCCAAAAUCAAACUCAAAAAAUUCAGACAUCAAUGCUUAGGUUCUAUAGAUAUCAGAAGAGAUCUUGUCUUUCAAUCUAGGCCUACAAUAGCUGUUGUUGCUUAUUGCGGGGAUGGAGAAGCAGUUUCUAAGUUAUGUCCUAAGGUAAAUCUUCUCUACUGAAACAAUGACAUUAUGACAAAAGGUUACCUUGGCAACAGCUUUGGGAGGAUAUUCUCCGUUUAGUCUUGCAUCAACGCAUUGCUUCACCUUGUCUUCACUCAGUUUAGGAGUUGCCUGCGACACACAUUAUGAUGAUCAAUAUGAGUAAACCAGAAAAAAGAAGAAGAGUUAAACUAAGCAUUACCCAUGUAACGAGACUCUGCUGUCCUCGUGGUAAGGUAUGAUCAACUGGCUUACGACCUGUAAGGAGCUCUAGCAGAACAACUCCAAAACUAUAGACAUCACUCUUUGUGCUCAAUGUCCCUGUCAUUGCAUACCUGAAAAUGCAGAACCAAAAAAAAAUCUUUGUGUUUAAGACUCUAGUAUGGUCAAUUAGAAGAGAUGCAAUGCAAAAUAAUGUCAAAGAUUAUUCCAAGGAAGGACUUAGUGCCUCAAAACAUAAGAUAAUAAUAACCAAAAGUCUCUGAGCACAAGUUGAAUGUAACCACAUUGAUUAGUCUGAACAAAAACAAUUCAAAUAAACAAGUAAAGGGCUUACUCUGGAGCGUGAUAACCAAACGUUCCCAGCACACGAGUUGAGUGAAGGCGAGCAGCCAUGUCAGGGGCUUGGUUGGAGAGAUCAAAAUCAGCAAUCUUGGCAACCACUUCAUCCAACUCCUCCCCAUAACCGAAACCCCUCGCCAUCAAGAUGAAAUCAAAGACAUAAGCGUUGAUCACGUCUCAUCACACAACAACAAUGGCACACCUCUAGAUGAGAAGUUCAGCGAGAGAAACAUUGAAAAUGGUGAUAAUAAUAACUAUGAGAAACAUGUUCCUACUUCAGAAACAACUCAUUCUCCUCAUCUCUCUGGUCUUCAAGAAGGCUCUCACAUUGGUUGGGGUCACUGGUUCACUCUCCGCGACCUUCAGCUGGCGACUAACCACUUCUCAAAAGAGAAUAUCAUCGGUGACGGUGGCUAUGGAGUUGUCUACCAUGGAACUUUAACUAACAAGACCCCUGUGGCUGUCAAGAAGCUGCUCAACAAUCCG
rnacentral:lncRNA from 1 species